CCUACGGGAGGCAGCAGUGGGGAAUUUUGCACAAUGCUCGUAAGAGUGACGCAGCGACGCCGCGUGAAUGACGAAGGCCUUCGGGUCGUAAAGUUCUUUCGACAGGGAAGAAAAUGCCUAUAAGUAACUGUGUAUGUAUUGACGGUACCUGUAUAAGCAGCCCCGGCUAACUCCGUGCCAGCAGCCGCGGUAAUACGGAGGGGGCGAGCGUUGUUCGGAGGGACUGGGCGUAAAGAGCACGUAGGCGGUGUUGUAAGUCAUUAGUCAAAGACUAGAGCUCAACUUUAGUAAGGCUAGUGAUACUAUAAUACUAGAGUAUCAGAGAGGAUUGCAGAAUUCCUGGUGUAGCGGUGAAAUGCGUAGAUAUCAGGAGGAAUACCGUUAGCGAAGGCGGCAAUCUGGCUGGAAACUGACGCUGAGGUGCGAAAGCGUGGGUAGCAAACAGGAUUAGAUACCCUUGUAGUC
rnacentral:rRNA from 1 species